rnacentral:rRNA from 1 species
GAUGAACGCUGACAGAAUGCUUAACACAUGCAAGUCGAUUCAAGUUACCUUCGGGUAAUGAGGAUGGCGGACGGGUGAGUAACGCGUAAGGAACUUGCCUCUUGGUCUGGGACAACUGUUGGAAACGACAGCUAAUACCGGAUAUUAUGAGAUUCUCGCAUGGGAAACUUAUGAAAGCUAUAUGCGCCAAGAGAGAGCCUUGCGUUCCAUUAGCUAGUUGGUGGGGUAAUGGCCCACCAAGGCGACGAUGGAUAGCCGGCCUGAGAGGGUGAACGGCCACAAGGGGACUGAGACACGGCCCUUACUCCUACGGGAGGCAGCAGUGGGGAAUAUUGGACNANGGNGNNNCAAGCCUGAUCCAGCAAUUCUGUGUGCACGAUGAAGGUCUUCGGAUUGUAAAGUGCUUUCAGUUGGGAAGAAGAAAGUGACGGUACCAACAGAAGAAGCGACGGCUAANUACGUGCCA